GUGCUUGCUUCAGCAUCUCAUGAACUAAAAUUGGAAUGAUAUAGAAAAGACUAGCACGGCCCCUGCUCAAGGAUGACAGGAAAUUUGUGAAGUGUUCCAUAUUUCU
ensembl:snRNA U6 U6 spliceosomal RNA